UACAGAGGUCUCAAGCGUUGUUCGGAUUCAUUGGGCGUAAAGGGUGUGUAGGUGGCGCGCUAAGUCGGGGUGUGAAAUUUCGGAGCUUAACUCCGAAACUGCAUUCGAUACUGGCGUGCUUGAGGACUGGAGAGGAGACUGGAAUUCAUGGUGUAGCAGUGAAAUGCGUAGAGAUCAUGAGGAAGACCAGUGGCGAAGGCGGGUCUCUGGACAGUUCCUGACGCUGAGGCGCGAAAGCGUGGGGAGCGAACAGG
rnacentral:rRNA from 1 species